UACGUAGGGUGCAAGCGUUGUCCGGAAUUAUUGGGCGUAAAGAGCUCGUAGGCGGUUUGUCGCGUCUGCUGUGAAAACUCGGGGCUUAACUCCGGGCCUGCAGUGGGUACGGGCAGACUAGAGUGCGGUAGGGGAGACUGGAAUUCCUGGUGGAGCGGUGAAAUGCGCAGAUAUCAGGAGGAACACCGGUGGCGAAGGCGAGUCUCUGGGCCGUAACUGACGCUGAGGAGCGAAAGCGUGGGGAGCGAACAGG
rnacentral:rRNA from 1 species